rnacentral:rRNA from 1 species
CCCCACUGCUAUCGGGGUGGGACUAAAACAUGCAAGUCGAGCGCCUCCAAGCUAUGGUGAAGGCGCGGCAAACGGCUCAGUAACACGUGGCCAACCUACCCUUGGGACGGAGACAACCCCGGGAAACUGGGGCUAAUCCCCGAUAGGUAAGGAAUCCUGGAAUGGAUCUUUGCUGAAAGGGCGUCUAGACCAUGCUUCUUGACGUCGCCCAAGGAUGGAGCCGCGGCCGAUCAGGUAGUUGGCGAGGCAACGGCUCACCAAGCCUAUAACCGGUACGGGCCGUGAGAGCGGGAGCCCGGAGAUGGGCACUGAGACAAGGGCCCAGGCCCUACGGGGCGCAGCAGUUGCGAAAACUCCGCAAUGCGCGAAAGCGUGACGGGGCUACCCCGAGUGCCGCCCGUUGAGGGCGGCUUUUCCAUGGUGUAAGGAGCCGUGGGAAUAAGGAGAGGGCAAGACUGGUGUCAGCCGCCGCGGUAAUACCAGCUCUCCGAGUGGUGGGGACGAUUAUUGGGCUUAAAGCGUUCGUAGCCGGCUUAACAAGUCUUCCGUUAAAUCCAACGAUCUAAUCGUUGGGCUGCGGGAGAUACUGUUGGGCUAGGAGGCGGGAGAAGCCGACGGUAUUCUCGGGGUAGGGGUGAAAUCCUGUAAUCCCGGGAGGACCACCAGUGGCGAAGGCGGUCGGCUAGAACGCGCUCGACGGUGAGGGACGAAAGCUGGGGGAGCGAACCGGAUUAGAAACCCGGGUAGUCCCAGCUGUAAACGAUGCGGGCUAGGUGUUGGGGUGGCCACGAGCCACUUCAGUGCCGCAUGGAAGCAAUUAAGCCCGCCGCCUGGGGAGUACGGCCGCAAGGCUGAAACUUAAAGGAAUUGGCGGGGGAGCACCACAAGGCGUGAAGCUUGCGGUUU